GCCUCGUUAGCGCAGUAGGCAGCGCGUCAGUCUCAUAAUCAAAUCUAGAAAUCUGAAGGUCGUGAGUUCGAUCCUCACACGGGGCA
rfam:Nematostella vectensis strain CH2 x CH6 NEMVEscaffold_1155_Cont35193, whole genome shotgun sequence.